GGAGGAAAACUAGGCAUGGGAGGAGCUGGGUCUUUGUAGCCCCUCACUGACCGCUGCUGCUAACAGGCGCGCCACCUCCUAGGUCAGCGCGCCCCUAAAGUCAGUGGGGAAAAUGCCCAACUGGCCUUCCUAUCUCCCCAACUCCACUUCCAAAUUAAACCCCUCCUCCCCGCGCGCAGUUGCUAGUGACCAACCUUAAACUUUUCCGACCUUAUUUCGGGAUGCUCAUGUAGUGGGGAUCCUUUGGGAUUCAGGGUGUCAUCUGGGAAAGGUGACCUUGUGCACACUCCUACCUCGUCCCUGCUCUUAAAACAUACACUAAAUUCUUGGGAGGUUUUGUAGAGUUCAGGACGACAUUCCCCAGCUAACCUCUGGGUCGUGGUGCCCCGAAAGGUUAAAUCUACGAGGUGCCGGGACCGCCGUGGGAUGAAAACACUGUCGUGUCCAGGGACACCAGUGCGGUUGUCGCGUUCGCUCUGAGUUUUCCCUGGACUUCAGAUUACUCAAAGACAACACGUUGGGUAGGAGCAGGGUACCUUCCUGGGACCCAGAGAGAAACACCGUUUCUCCACCCCCAAGUCUCUCUCUGUACACACACCCCUUAGUAGCUACCUCCAAACGGUUAUCACAGCUGUGUACAAACUGAUACGGCCCUUAGCGGGCCAAGGACUGGAAACGAACCACUGGCGGGGUUAUCAGUGUGGAUCUGUCAGCAGCGAGUCACGCACUGUUCGUCCCCAGGCAGCAGCCGUGAUAAAGGUCUUGUUCCUUCGGGCUCACAGAAAGGAUUUCUUCCGACAAGCUGGACACUGGAAGAUUGUGGAAAGGGAAUUGGACAGGAGGAGCUCCCUUAUGGAAAUGGAUUUUUACACACACUCACAAAAAGGAUUUCUUUCGACAAGCUGGACACUGGAAGAUUGUGGAAAGGGAAUUGGACAGAAUAUGGAAAUGGAUUUUUACACACACACACCCCAGUUAGAGGAAGGAGAGGGGUCCAAGCAGAGCUGAACAUCGAGUCCUGGGUACGCUGUAAAAUACGAUUUCCAGAGGGUGUGAGACCUCGCUGGAAAGGAGUUCUUUCCUUGAACUGAACCUGUGCGCUAGCAGAGAAGGGUCAGGGUCAGAACUUGCUGGGGGGGGGGGGGGAGAAGACCUAAUUCAGGAAGUUAACGAGAAUUUUGCGUUUUCAUUUCUCACUGAACAUUUCGGCCAAACACUUCCGAAUUUUAAAUCUGCUACCGACCGUUCUAGUCUAACUGCGUCACUUUUUGCCUCCCCCACCCACCCCAACUCCCCGUCACUGGGACUAAAAGACUGAAAGAUAGAAAACUCUGGAAUGGAGACGCUAGCGGCUGGACUAGGACUCGGAGGUUUUGAAUGUUAACCCACACGGGGUCGAAAGAGACUGGCACGGGCCGGCCCAAAUCCCACUGCAGGUUUCAGCGGCUUGCUUUGGGUUGUUCGCUUGUUAUCUGGGCCACCCAAUGACCGACGAAAGAUCUUCCCUCCCCACGUCUCCCAUCGCAGUUUUAAACCAAAUAAAUUUAGCUAUUAAGGCCCGAGACGUCUGACAAAAGAUCGAAAGGUGUCUCUCUGGGAUCGCUUAAAGAAGCCAAGAAGCUGGCGACUCUCAGAAUCCCGAUAAAGAAAUUCCAGCCGGCGCCGACCUCCCUCCCCAGCCUGCUUACACCCAACACCCUGAGAUCAGGACCUCAGAGGGCCACUGGGACGUGUGGCUACAGCUGAGGCAAUGUCUAGGGUCCCGAGCCUAGGGUUGUUAGACUUUGGGAGCGGGCACUGAGGUCCCUGGAGCAGCGAGACCUGAAACAUCUCCUGCCAAGCUUGCAGAAGCACCAAGGCCAAGGAAACCCGAAGUGGCUUUACAUUUGCUUUUUUCCCCUUUUCCUUUGAGACAAAGUCUCUCAUUAUGCAUGGCAGGCUAGCCUCAAACUCAUGAUCCUCGAGUCUCAGGUCUGUGCAGUAUUGGGAUUAGAAAUGUAGCCUUGUCCUGCCGUUUUUAUUGUUUGCUAAUACUGAGUAAUAAAGACAAAACCCAAUCAUA